UGGUGGAGUGAUUUGUCUGGUUAAUUCCGUUAACGAACGAGACCUCGUCCUGCUAAAUAGUCCGCGUUAUGCUCGUCAUAGCGUUGGUUUCUACUUCUUAGAGGGACUAUCGGUGUCAUUUUAGCCGAUGGAAGUUCGAGGCAAUAACA
rnacentral:rRNA from 1 species